rnacentral:misc_RNA from 1 species
CGAAAUGCGAUAAGUAAUGUGAAUUGCAGAAUUCCGUGAAUCAUCGGAUCUUUGAACGCACAUUGCGCCCUCUGGCAUUCCGGGGGGGAUGCCUGUCCGAGCGUCAUUACGCACCCUCAAGCCCGGCUUGUGUGAUGGGCCCCGGCGUCUCGUUCGCGAGACGGGCCCGAAAGGCAGCGGCGGCGUCGACCCGAUGAGCCCGAGCGUAUGGGGACUUCUGUCACACGUUCGCGGUGCGGACCGGCGCCUGCUUGACUUUUCUGAUUAUCCAGGUUGACCUCGGAUCAGGUAGGGAUACCCGCUGAACUUAAGC